UUUAUUCAUUCAUAAUGAAUAAUUUUGAUUUGAGCACUAGAAAAGUGCUUCGAAGAUUUAGGAGGAUUCAUUAACAUGCAAAACGGUAAAGUAAAAUGGUUUAACAACGAAAAAGGAUUCGGGUUCAUCGAAGUAGAAGGCGGAGACGACGUAUUCGUUCAUUUCUCUGCAAUUGAAGGAGACGGCUACAAAUCCUUAGAAGAAGGUCAAGAAGUUUCUUUUGAAAUCGUAGAAGGAAACCGUGGCCCUCAAGCUGCUAACGUAGUAAAACUGUAAUCUUACUAAAAAAACCGAAGCCGGCUAAUCAGCCGGCUUUUUUAU
rnacentral:other from 1 species